rnacentral:misc_RNA from 1 species
GAAAAGAAAAUUAAGAGCAAACAGAGAGCACGUGAAGAUUGCAGAUGUGGAGGAGAUAUGUAGAGCUAUGAGCAAACGAUCUCCGCAAUUUAUAAGCCCCAAAAGACUGUCUCGUUGGAUUCUAGUGCCCUGCAUGCACCAGCCCAUGUGCCUCUCUUCAAUUCUCUACGGACACAUUGGUUCUUCAUCUAACUCCAAGUAGAAAAUCCUCCAAUC